GGCGCCGCGCGCCCCGCGCCCCGCGCCCGGCGCCAGCACCGAUACGGUGCGCCAGGCGGCCGGCCAGAGGCUCGACGAGCGCUACGCGGCCGCUGUGCCUUCCCGUAGUUCUUGCCUCCCGGGGGCGCGGCGCGGACCUGUCGCAGCCGAAGAGCUGUCGUUUCAUCGCCGGGGUUCAGAUGAAUUGAUCCGGUCCUCAGCGGACGGGGCACAUCUCAGUUCCCGAAAUGCUGCGUGUCUCCGGCUGGAACAAUACUAGUUUUUCUCAGCGAGGCUGCAAUUAACAUCUUGUUUGUUCUGGCUAGAUACAGGCUUUGUCAGGACCGCGGUGCGGCGACCGAGAUUGCGUUCCAACCCUACUAAAACUGAUGACAAGAACUAAAGUUGUGAGUACCAGCAUAUCUGUUGACCUUAAUCAACACUAGAGAUUAAGGUCAGUUGAUUACCUAUUAUUUCUGAACUCUUGUGUCUCUCCACCUCUGUUCCUUACCACUUCUGACCCACUCUUUUUCUUUCUGCCAGAUUCUCCCUCUUUGCCAUCUAGAUCUCCUUGCUCUUCUAUUCCAACACACCUUUAUGCAGAAUGUUCUUUUUGUACCUUCUCUUGACUGAAACCUACUAUUUUUGUGAAGACAUGGCAUCUCUUGCAACCAUGCCAAGAGGAAGCCAGUUACAUGCAUGCUUCUUCCACACUCUGAUUAACUAGGGAUUAUGGGUAGAUGGGAUCAGUGUCCUUGAUCUCCAUUGCUGGGUUCAAAUAUUUACUUCUAAUCUCACUUUAAUACCUUUUUUUUUUUCCUUAGAGGUUAUAAUUUUCCUUUGGCAGCCUCACCUCUUCCUCCUUGCUAUCUUUUUAAUGACUUCAAAUUUUACUUUUUAUUCAUACAGUCCUUUAGCUGCUGGCUAAGCUUCCCUCUCCAUCCAAUUUCCAGUCUUCUCAUGUUUUCAGCAUCCAUGUAGAUGGCUUAUAUGUCACACUGUCUUUUCAGUUCCGUUUCUGUAUUUUCUUUUAUACCAACUUAGCCACAUUUUCCUUUAGUCUUCAACUAAAGAGAUCAUAAAUAAUGACUGUUCCACUUCCAGUAUUGUUUCGAUUUUGUACAUACAAUCUUCUACUUUUGUAAACUCACCUUCUUGAUAACCAUAAGGAGCCAAGUCUUCCACAAUAUUCAGAUCUUUAAUCCAUUCCAACUAAUUUCUUCUCCUACCUUUUCUUCCCUCCUCUUACCCUGUAGCAGGCAGCCUCUCACAUGUCCCCCAGUGAUCCCUACUUCCUGUCAUUCAUGCCUUUGUAUAACCAUCUCCCCUUGAGUGUGAGCUAGAUUUAGAAACUUGCUUCCAGGGAGUAGGCAGCAGUGAUAGGAUGUCACUACCAAGUGUAGGGUAUGAAAUGACUGUCCUCCAUCUUUCACUCUCCAAAUAGCACUCACUCUGAGAUAUGUCACUUGUCCUGCUGUGAGACACAACCAAACCCAUGGGAGUUUGAUUAGAAGCACAUCUUCCAAGACCUGACAAUAGCUAUGUGAGUGAACUCAGAAGUAGAAGUUUCCCCAGUCAAGUCUGAGAUCUCCUGGCCAAUACCUUGGGAGUAGCUUUGGAGACACCUUGAAUGAGAACCACUCAGCUAAGCUGCUCCUGGCUUCCUGAUCUAUAGGAACUAUAUGAUACCAAAUAUUUACAUUUCCCAUUGCUAAGUUUAGGGAUAAUUUGUUAUACAAUAGAUAACUAAUGCAUACCCCCAUGGAUUCCAUGCCCAUUAUUAAAAUAAUUUACUUAUUACCUUCAGCUUUCUCUUCACAUUUUCAUGGCUGAAUUACCACACAUACUGUCUCUGAGCCAGCACCCAUGAAACAGAACAGUGGUGAAGAAAUUCACACCCUUAGGUAAUCUGAUGCAUUCAUAAUCACCCUAUGCAUUCAUAAUCACCAGGUUCAAAUGGUCUCACCACACAGGCUGUAACUCAAAACUUUCAAUUAUAAGCUCACUCUCCUAUUAUACCCUACGAAUAUUUUAUAAUUUUUACUUGAUAUUUAAAGCUUUCCUCCAAUUCUUCAAUUCUGAUAGCUUUCUUUAUUCUUCAUUGAUAAAACAGAUGUGAUCAUAUGGGAACUCCCUCAUCUUACAUAAUAAAUUCAUUAAACCUGUGCCUUCUUCCAUUUUCUCCUUUCUUCUAGCCUCUAAGGAGAUACUGCUCAUAUCUGAAAAGCCAUCCCCAUGUAUAAGUAUCUCAGGUCUUACUUCUAUUGAUUCUAUUGCACAAUGAAAAUUUUUCCCUCUCUUCUGGAUCAUUUUUAUCAAUAUGGUAUUUAAAAGGUAUUUUAAAGCACUGUGGCCAUCCUAAAACAAUUUUAAUAACAUUCCCAAUUUGUCAUUUCCUCUUCAUAACUAAUCUUCAAAAAGCAGCCUAUCACUUCACUUUGUUUCCUCACUUCCUUCUCAUUUCUCAAUUCAUUCUAAUUUGGCUUCCACCCUCAGUGUUCCACUGAAAAGUUUCUGAACAAGGUCACUAAAGGCUUUUAUGUUACCAAGUUGAUAGAUAUUUUUUUUUUCAUUUUACUCCAACUUUAGCACUAUUUUGCUUGUUAUGCCUUACAUUUUUAAAGCCACUCUUUCCAUCUUGAUUUCUGUUUUAUCAUACCUUCCUAGCACUGACUUCCCAGUCUCCUGCUGGUUUUCUUCUAUAUGAAAUGCCAGUUACUUAGAGAUAAAUGUUAGGUCUAAUUCCCUAAUUUCUCUCCCAUCUCUCCUUUGGUGAUCUAAU